AGCUUUGCGCAGUGGCAGUAUCGUAGCCAAUGAGGUUUAUCCGAGGCGCGAUUAUUGCUAAUUGAAGUAGUCGAUAUACUGCUGCAUGAUCUGAUAUGAAUGUUGCCUUUUUCUUUUAAAUUUGUCAUGUUUUAUAUCA